rnacentral:lncRNA from 1 species
GUGUCAAUGCACAUUACAAACAAACAUCCGAUUACAAUUAAAUAUCAAAAGUCAUAAUAUCCGAGUAGCAAAACAACCAAAAUUUUACAAUCUACCAAGUAGCAAAGCAUGACAACAUAUGCAAAUAAAACACAUCCUUACAUACCACCAUCUUCGUUCUCAUCGUUUCCUUGAUUAUUUUGUGAUUGAAAAAACGAAUAAAGCUCAUCCCUACAUGUCGGGUCACUGAGCAUUGCACGAAGAUUUCCAACUACAUAAUUAAUAACAACAUAUAUAAAAACUUAUAAGUUAGAUUGUCAAACAUAAACAAAAAACUAUCAAAAUACGUUGUUAUUUUAAAACUAAGAUAGAAAACCAAAGUACAUUGCUAUUUCUUGCACUUUGGACAAAAACCAAAUUAAAACACUUUUUAACAAAUAAUCACCACAAAACCAAAAUUACCAAUUCAACAUGCAUUGUACGAUGCUAAAGUAGAUUGCUAUUUUUAAACUGAGAUAAAAACCAAAGUACAUUGCUAUUUCUUGCACUUUGGACAAAAACCAAAUUAAAACACUUUUUAACAAAUAAUCACCACAAAACCAAAAUUACCAAUUCAACAUGCAUUGUACGAUGCUAAAGUAGAUUGCUAUUUUUAAACUGAGAUAAAAACCAAAGUACAUUGCUAUUUCUUGCACUUGGGACAAAAACACAACUACGAAACUUUUUAGCAAAUAAUCACCACAAAACCAAAAUUACCAAUUCAACAUGCAUUGUACGAUGCUAAAGUAGAUUGCUAUUUUUAAACUCCAAUAGAAAACUAAAGUACAUUGCUAUUUCUUGCACAUGGGACAAAAACCAAAUUACCAAACUUUACCAAAAUUA